rnacentral:lncRNA from 10 species
CGCUCAGUCUUAAAUGCCUCCAAGCACCUGGUGCUGAGUCCCAGUCACAGCGAGAAUAAACUCCUGCUCUUUGCUAAAGCAGAUAGCAAUGGGGACCCAAUGAAACCAGAAAGCCUCCUUCCAACUGCAUAGAUCCCAAGAUUCUACAAGACAGAUGGAUUCAUUGCCAUCUCAGACAAUAAAAAUUGCUACACUUAUCAGACAUAUGUUACUAUGUUCUAGUCACAACAUGUGCUUAAACCCUUGAUAAACAUUAUCUCACUUAAUUCUCACAACAGCUCUAUGAUAAAGGAACCAUCAUCAUCUAAAUUUUGCAGAUUUGGAAACUGAGUCUCUGAGUGGGAGAAUCACUUGCCCAGAGUUGCAUAGCUAGCAAGUAGAGGAGUCUGCUUUCAAAUCCAGAUAUGUCUUAAUCUAAAGUCUAGGCUACGCUGACCUCCAGCAACAGGAUAAGAAAAGUGUAACAUUAGGUGAGUGUAAAAUGUAUCCCUCCUGUCUAUAUAUUGUGUCCAUGUCUAGAGCUGCCCAUUAGUCUGCAUAUCUAUUUAUGCUAUCAAGGAUGUUAUUUUCAGAGCCUCCACCUUCUUCCUGCAGAAGGGCAAAGAGUACUUGCCUGGUACUACCCUAAUAUGUACAACCUGGUAUUUUAUAGGUAGUUGGCAGGAAAAGACAUGAGUCUCCAAGGCGACCAUAUUGAUUUUGUUGAAGAAAACCAAACUGAAGAAUCUCAGUGGGAGGAGAAGGAGAGAGAUGCUCAAAAUCAAGACUGGAAUAAAGCAACCAUUCCUCCCCAGAGCAAUUGUACCAGCCACCUAAUCUGCCUUCCUGCUGCAAGAAUUCACCUUCUGCUAACCUAUCCUUUGGACUUAUUCCCUCUAGGGACUUUUUUUUCCUUCAAACUGGGGGCCUGCUCAUAACUUCCUUCCUUGAAAACCUUGCACUGACUCCCCCAAAUUAGUAGGGUCAGUGCUAACCCCUCUGCAUUACGGCUCUCAUGAACUGGUGCUUGCCUUCUAUCUGUCCUUGAACUUCACCCUCCAGUUAUUUCACAUUGUUCAUCGUAUCUCUAUAUACCUCGUUCUACUCCAUAACUCUCCAAAUCGUGCAAAACAAACCCCUCUGACAUCUCUGUCCUUUUGAAAAUGUCCUAUUCAUUCUUUGAUAUUUUAUAAUCACAUUAUCUCAGAAGUCUUA